rnacentral:rRNA from 1 species
UUUGUAGGCGGCCUUGUAAGUGGGGUGUGAAAUCCCUCGGCUCAACCGAGGAAUAGCGCUCCAAACUACAUGGCUUGAGGGAGACAGGGGUAAGCGGAACUGAUGGUGGAGCGGUGAAAUGCGUUGAUAUCAUCAGGAACACCGGUGGCGAAAGCGGCUUACUGGGUCUCUUCUGACGCUGAGAAACGAAAGCUAGGGUAGCGAACGGGAUUAGAUACCCCGGUAGUCCUAGCUGUAAACGAUGAGCACUUGGUUGGGGAUCCUCCCAUAGGUUCUCGACCGUAGCGAAAGUGUUAAGUGCUCCGCCUGGGGAGUAUGGUCGCAAGGCUGAA